rnacentral:rRNA from 1 species
CGCUGGCGGCGUGCUUAACACAUGCAAGUCGAACGAACCUUCGGGUUAGUGGCGGACGGGUGAGUAACGCGUGAGAAUCUGCCCUCAGGAGGGGGAUAACGGUUGGAAACGACCGCUAAUACCCCAUAUGCCGAGAGGUGAAAAGAAAUUCGCCUGAGGAUGAGCUCGCGUCUGAUUAGCUAGUUGGUGUGGUAAUGGCGCGGCAAGGCUUCGAUCAGUAGCUGGUCUGAGAGGAUGAUCAGCCACACUGGGUCUGAGACACGAACCAGACUCCUACGGGAGUCAGCAGUGGG